CUUCACACUUCGGAAGCCACCUAAAUCUCCAGCCCUCUCUGCCUCCUCUCUCCUCUAUGUAAUCUACUUUUCACAUCUCUGAACUUAUUUAUGUUGUUCUUUCCGCCUGGAAUUCUCUGUGUCACCUUUCUAAGCCUGGAAAAGUUCUGUUAAUCCACUUCCCCAGGGAGAAGUUCCUCUACCAAAAUUAUCUUGAAUGAUUCAACCGCUUCAAAUCCUUCAACAGUUCCCAAUCACUUACAGAUGGAAGUCCAAACCCCCCUGGCGUGAUUUUCAAGGUCUCCUCUUUUUAAAAAACGGAAUCUUUGGCAGAUCAAAGGUGGAACUAGAACCUAAGUCAACUGACUCCUGUUCUAAUAAUCCCUGAACAAAUAGCUAUAGUAAAUGUAGUAAGUUCUACAAGAAAGAUUAAGAUAGAGCACAGGGGUGGAUGGGGAGGCCCAUUUGUCAUAUGAUGCUUGCAUCUCCUCAGCCAUUCAUUUCCAGGGAUUGGAAUGCCUCCUAAAAGAUUAACCAUAGUCAUCUCGGGGUGGCAGAGUUGCAGGUGGUUUUUCAGAAUUUUGUUAUCAUUUUGAGUAUUUUUCAACAGCAAACAUUUUUCAUCUGCGUAAUAAAAGCAAAAUGAUAAUGACAG
rnacentral:lncRNA from 1 species